GUAGGGAAUAUUGGGCAAUGGAUGCAAGUCUGACCCAGCCAUCCCGCGUGCCGGAAGAAGGCCCUCAGGGUUGUAAACGGCUUUUGACGGUGAAGAACCGACAGGAUGCGUCCUGUUUUGACGGUAGCCGUUGAAUAAGCACCGGCUAACUCCGUGCCAGCAGCCGCGGUAAUACGGAGGGUGCGAGCGUUGUCCGGAUUUAUUGGGUUUAAAGGGUGCGUAGGCUGGAAGGUCAGUCAGCGGUGAAAAGCUAUCGCUUAACGAUAGUCUUGCCGCAGAUACUUCCUUUCGUGGAUGAGGAGGAGGCCACUGGAACGGAUGGUGUAGCGGUGAAAUGCAUAGAUAUCAUCCAGAACACCGAUUGCGAAGGCAGGUGGCUGUACCUUAAUCGACGCUGAUGCACGAAAGCAUGGGGAGCAAACAGGAUUAGAUACCCGGGUAGUCC
rnacentral:rRNA from 1 species